CCUACGGGAGGCAGCAGUGAGGAAUAUUGGUCAAUGGGCGCAAGCCUGAACCAGCCAAGUAGCGUGAAGGAUGAAUGCCCUACGGGUUGUAAACUUCUUUUAUAAAGGAGUAGUGUGAGGCACGUGAGCCGGGUUGUAUGUAUUUUGUGAAUAAGGAUCGGCUAACUCCGGUCCAGCAGCCCCGGUAAUCCGGAGGAUCCGGGCGUUCUCCGGAUUUAUUGGGGUUAAAGGGAGCGUAGAUGGGGCGUUAAGGCAGUUGUGAAAGUUUGAGGCGCAACCGUAAAAGUGCAAUUGAUACUGGCAGCCUUGAGUACAGUUGAGGUAGGCGGAAUUCGUGGUGUAGCGGUGAAAUGCUUAGAUAUCACGAAGAACUCCGAUUGCGAAGGCAGCCUACUAAACUGCCACUGACAUUGAUGCGCGAAAGUGCGGGUAUCAAACAGGAUUAGAUACCCCUGUAGUC
rnacentral:rRNA from 1 species